AAGAAAAUCCGUUGGCUUUAUAGUAGACCGUGAGGGUUCGAGUCCCUCUACCCCCA
rnacentral:tRNA from 21 species